CUGCCGAGGGGCUUGCUGCUUCUUAGUACCUGCCCUGCUGCCAGCACUCUCCGGACUCUACUUUCAGAUCAAGGUCACACCCUUCCACCCACUUGCAUGCCAAGGUCACACCCUUCCCCGGACAGGCAGGUCACCUCUGUGUUCUGUUUCAAGUUUCUGAGCACCCUGUGCUGUUGGCGGGCACUGUCUGGCUUGCAUCUCAGCUGGAUUUCUCCCUCUUCCCAAUUCUGCCUCAGCCCAGUCCUUUGCACGGGUGUUGACUCAAGCACCACUCCCUGAUAAACAUCCGGAACUCUAAGCUCUGCCUGACUCUGUUUCCUGGAGAAGUUGAACUGCUUUACAGCAUGAAGAGCCUCGAUGAGUCAGAUGGUGAAAAGUACUGAAGUGACUGAGGACCGAAUGAUGAUGAUGAGGAGCCUGCAGAGACCAGAAGGGGGUGUUGGAUAUGUCAGCACUGAAGUGACAGUACUUCAAAGAGAUAUCUUGCCUGACUCUGCCACACCAACUGUCACAAAGGUCCCAGGACACGAUGUGGGUGGUUCUUCUCCACACCACAAAGGUGGACCACCGAGGACCUGCAUCCUUCUGUGAUUUCUCACCCACCCGAGAGCCCAUGCCAAGCCCUUAGAGCGCCUCCUGAAUUCCUUUCUAUCCCAUCUCAUGCCUUACAUGAGUUAAACAGUUCCUGAUAGACAAAAUGGGUAACUCAGUAUUCUGUGUAUAAACUGAAUUUCCUAGUGCUGCUUAGGACAUCGUGCUCAACGGAGCAAUAGAAAGUCAAUUUAACACAAUAAACAGGGAAAGCAGAAAGAGUAAACAAAACGUGGAAGGGUGAGGCUUGUUCUUUCUGAUGAGGCAGCUUCCUGUCAGCCUUUGAAAGAACAAGUUUUUGAAAAAUGUCCGACCCUACUCAUUUGGUUUUUUCCACAGUCCAUUACAUAUUUUUAUACAUUUCCAGAAAAAAAAAUAUGAGAAAAGAUGUGAUUAAAACCAGAAAUAAUUCACAAGUGGAAUACAAGUUAUUUUAUUAAUUUGUUUAAGUGUGUGUGUGUGUGUGUGUGUGUGUGUGUGUGUGUGUGUGUGUGUGUGUAUGCGCCCUCUGUGGAGGACAUAGGAAAAUCUGUAGGAGUCAAUUCUUCCCUUCCCUUGUGUGGGGCCUGGGAUCUAACUCACACCUUCAUCUGAGCCAUUUUGUCAACACCAUGCAAACUAUUUUAAAGCUUUUUGUUUGUUUUGAAACAGGCCCCUCAUGUAGUCCAGACUGGCCUCACCUCAAUGGCCCUGCCUCAGCAUCUCAGAGUGCUGGGUUAAGAGUCCACACCACUACCUAGGGUUCUUUAAGCUAUUUUUCAUCUGAAACAAACCUCCAGGAAGCAUCCACCACAGUUCAAGGGUGCAAAAACAGC
rnacentral:lncRNA from 1 species